rnacentral:rRNA from 1 species
GGCCAGAGCGGUAGGGAAACUCCUGUACCCAUGCCGAACACAGAAGAUAAGACUGCCAGCGUUCCACUCUGUACUGCGGUGCGAGAGCCUCCGGGAACAGUGGAUCGCUGCUAGGU